UAAGUCUCUUCUCUGCCAAACUGCCUUAAGCGCAAUUCAAACACACGCACACAUAAUACACACACAGAAAGGUUUCAAUUAAAAUGCUAUGGAGGAAUGCAAUAUUCGAAUUUCACAUAUUCUGAGGGAAGGCAAAAGUUAUUGUCUCUAUGCCCUACUAUUUGGAAGAAUACUCUACUGCCAUAUACUUUAUGCAGAUUCUAUUGGAAAGUACAUACAAAAGGAGUUGAGGUGCUUAGAGGUGAUAUCAAAGUGCAGAUCAACAUUUCAAUAUCACAUGAAGAGAGGCAAAUCAUGAUUGGCAUAUGUUAUCAAUGCAUCACACACACAAUCAACAGCAAAACUGAUUGCUUCAAUGAUGUGCGCAUCUGGUGCAAACAUGGACAGACAUGUUCGCAUCUGGAUCAAAUAUAGCAAUCAGCAACAAUAAGCAUGAAAUAAAGGAAGUCCAAGUUCAAAAGUUGAACAGACUCCCUCGUUCUCAGACGAGAAUGUGCUGUUCAAAUGGCCAUAUGGAAGAAUUACGAUGCAGAAAAUUGAGCGGUUGUUCACUGUCAUCAAACAGAAUACAGAAGGAAAACAUGGCCACAUGAUAGGCAUAUGUUAUCACUUUAUCGCACACACAGUCAAUAGCAAAACUGAUUGCUUCAAUGAUGUGCGCAUCUGGUGCAAACAUGGCCAAAUAUGUGCGCAUCUGGAGC
rnacentral:lncRNA from 1 species